GGGGAGCGGCAGACGGGUGAGUAACGCGUGGGAAUCUACCCAUCACUACGGAACAACUCCGGGAAACUGGAGCUAAUACCGUAUACGUCCUUCGGGAGAAAGAUUUAUCGGUGAUGGAUGAGCCCGCGUUGGAUUAGCUAGUUGGUGGGGUAAUGGCCUACCAAGGCGACGAUCCAUAGCUGGUCUGAGAGGAUGAUCAGCCACACUGGGACUGAGACACGGCCCAGACUCCUACGGGAGGCAGCAGUGGGGAAUAUUGGACAAUGGGCGAAAGCCUGAUCCAGCCAUGCCGCGUGAGUGAUGAAGGCCCUAGGGUUGUAAAGCUCUUUCAACGGUGAAGAUAAUGACGGUAACCGUAGAAGAAGCCCCGGCUAACUUCGUGCCAGCAG
rnacentral:rRNA from 1 species